AGAGUUUGAUCAUGGCUCAGGACGAACGCUGGCGGCGUGCUUAACACAUGCAAGUCGAGCGAGGUCCAUCUGGUGGCAACACCAGUGAAGACCUAGCGGCGAACGGGUGAGUAACACGUGAGCAACCUGCCCCGAAGACUGGGAUAACACCGGGAAACCGGUGCUAAUACCGGAUACCCCCACCGGGUCGCAUGGCCUGGUGAGGAAAUGAAUUUUGCUUCGGGAGGGGCUCGCGGGCUAUCAGCUUGUUGGUGGGGUAACGGUCUACCAAGGCGACGACGGCUAGCUGGUCUGAGAGGACGACCAGCCACACUGGGACUGAGACACGGCCCAGACUCCUACGGGAGGCAGCAGUGGGGAAUCUUGCGCAAUGGGCGAAAGCCUGACGCAGCAACGCCGCGUGAGGGAUGAAUGUCUUCGGAUUGUAAACCUCUUUCAGCAGGGACGAAAAUGACGGUACCUGCAGAAGAAGCCCCGGCCAACUACGUGCCAGCAGCCGCGGUAAUACGUAGGGGGCGAGCGUUGUCCGGAUUUAUUGGGCGUAAAGAGCUCGUAGGCGGCUUAGCAAGUCAGGUGUGAAAACUCCAGGCUCAACCUGGAGACGCCACUUGAGACUGCUAUAGCUAGAGUCCGGUAGGGGACCACGGAAUUCCUGGUGUAGCGGUGAAAUGCGCAGAUAUCAGGAGGAACACCAGUGGCGAAGGCGGUGGUCUGGGCCGGCACUGACGCUGAGGAGCGAAAGCGUGGGUAGCAAACAGGAUUAGAUACCCUGGUAGUCCACGCCGUAAACGUU
rnacentral:rRNA from 1 species